ACUUGGGGGUGCUGGUCGAUGAGAAAAUGAACAUGAGCCGGCAGUGUGUGCUUGCAGCCCAGAAAGCCAACCAUAUCCUAGGCUGCAUCAAAAGGAGCGAGGUGAUCCUGCCCCUCUACUCUGCUCUCGUGAGACCUCACUUGGAGUAUUGUGUGCAUUCUGGUGUCCUCAACAUAAAAAGGACACGGAACUGUUGGAACAAGUCCAGAGGAGGGCCACAAGGAUGAUCAGGGGACUGGAGCACCUCCCAUAUGAAGACAGACUGAGAAAGUUGGGGCUGUCA